rnacentral:rRNA from 2 species
GUCGAACGCACUCUCGUUAGAUUGAAGAAGCUUGCUUCUGAUUGAUAACAUUUGAGUGAGUGGCGGACGGGUGAGUAACACGUGGGUAACCUGCCCUAAAGUGGGGGAUAACAUUUGGAAACAGAUGCUAAUACCGCAUAAAACCUAGCACCGCAUGGUGCAAGGUUGAAAGAUGGUUUCGGCUAUCACUUUAGGAUGGACCCGCGGUGCAUUAGUUAGUUGGUGAGGUAAAGGCUCACCAAGACCGUGAUGCAUAGCCGACCUGAGAGGGUAAUCGGCCACACUGGGACUGAGACACGGCCCAGACUCCUACGGGAGGCAGCAGUAGGGAAUCUUCCACAAUGGACGAAAGUCUGAUGGAGCAACGCCGCGUGAGUGAAGAAGGUUUUCGGAUCGUAAAACUCUGUUGUUGGAGAAGAACGUAUUUGAUAGUAACUGAUCAGGUAGUGACGGUAUCCAACCAGAAAGCCACGGCUAACUACGUGCCAGCAGCCGCGGUAAUACGUAGGUGGCAAGCGUUGUCCGGAUUUAUUGGGCGUAAAGCGAGCGCAGGCGGUUUCUUAAGUCUGAUG